rnacentral:rRNA from 1 species
CAUAAUCUCUGAGGAGAAAAGCAGGGGAUCGCAAGACCUUGUGCUUUUGGAGCGGCCGAUGUCUGAUUAGCUAGUUGGUGGGGUAAUGGCCUACCAAGGCAACGAUCAGUAGUUGGUCUGAGAGGACGACCAGCCACACUGGGACUGAGACACGGCCCAGACUCCUACGGGAGGCAGCAGUGGGGAAUUUUGGACAAUGGGCGCAAGCCUGAUCCAGCAAUGCCGCGUGAGUGAAGAAGGCCUUCGGGUUGUAAAGCUCUUUCAGUCGAGAAGAAAAGGUUGUGAUUAAUAAUUGUAAUUUAU